rnacentral:rRNA from 1 species
AUUGAACGCUGGCGGAAUGCUUUACACAUGCAAGUCGAACGGUAGAGGGGGCAACCCCUCGAGAGUGGCGAACGGGUGAGUAAUAUAUCGGAACGUGCCCAGUCGUGGGGGAUAACGUAGCGAAAGUUACGCUAAUACCGCAUACGAUCUAAGGAUGAAAGCGGGGGAUCGCAAGACCUCGCGCGAUUGGAGCGGCCGAUAUCAGAUUAGGUAGUUGGUGGGGUAAAGGCUCACCAAGCCAACGAUCUGUAGGUGGUCUGAGAGGACGACCAGCCACACUGGAACUGAGGCACGGUCCAGACUCCUACGGGAGGCAGCAGUGGGGAAUUUUGGACAAUGGACGCAAGUCUGAUCCAGCCAUUCCGCGUGCAGGAUGAAGGCCCUCGGGUUGUAAACUGCUUUUGUACGGAACGAAAAGGUCUCUCUUAAUACGGGGGGCUCAUGACGGUACCGUAAGAAUAAGCACCGGCUAACUACGUGCCAGCAGCCGCCGUAA